UAAACUUAAAAAUACUUUUUAAAAAUUUUCACAAGUUGUUUUUUGCCAUAAAGUUUGUGGCAAAAUUAGGGCAGACGGAGAUACAGCCAUUGAAGAAGAUGAAGAGAAUUUCUUUGGGCAAUCGCAAUGGUAUUAUCUCUUCCAUUUCAGUUAAGGGUAAAGUUAGUGUAAAUUUUGAGUGUUUAGAUGAUGCUAUUACUCUCUUCAAUCAAAAGAACAAUCUUCUUGCUGAUUUCUGAAGUCGUAGUUACAUCAUUGGUAAACCGUAAAUGGAAUGCUAGAACUGAUAAGAUCAACCCAAUCCUUACCAGGGGAUGAUUCGUUAAAGGAGAACUUUGGUUGCAUGGACGUAGAUGUAAUGUUGAAAUUGUUCCAUGAUCAUGUCUCCACGUGUUAGCUUCAUCAUAGUUGUCUUUAUUUUUUUUAAUGACGGUGGUGUUCGGGCCCACCUGUGUGUACCUUCAACUAUUCAGCAAGUGCAUGCUACCUCCGACCAACACAAGGACCGGGUAUCUUUGACUACCAGAUAUGUUCAGUUGUCUAUGGAAUAUUGAAUCUUGUGGACAACUUAAGAUAGGAGUAACACAUAUUUAUUUCAUUCUAAGUUUAGUUUAUCACGUGAUGUGAUCAUGUUCUGUCACAAAUUUAACCUCGUCUUUAGAAUCAUUUGAAUAUCAGUUAUGAUCUUUUGUUUCUUCUUCAUUAACGUAAUAGAGUGCACUUGAUGUUUAUGAAUGUCAUGCUGAUACUUUCUUGUUGCGUUCGCUUGCCUUGUCAUGGCCAUGUGAAGGGAAGCAUUAUAAAAUAAGAGCUUGUUUGGAUAAGCUUUUUUUAAGUUGGAAAUCCCAGAUUUUCACUUUCGGCUUUUUUUAAGCUCUUUUGCCUUGAAAUAAGUGUCCAAAAGCACUUUCUUCAUUUACCCAAACACGAUAAAAGAGCUUAAAAGCUACUUUAACUUAAAAAAUACUUAAAAGAGGUCUAUCCAUACAGGCUCUAGGUCAUGUUUGGGAAAGGAAUACACAAACAAUUGCCAUGCUGAAGGGUUUUGAAUAUCCAUUUUCUUCUUUGUAGUAUUUGCAAGAUCAUAGUUAGAUGCAAAUUUAAUAAAUGCUAAAUGAUUUUUGUUCUUCUCUUUCUUUUUUAGUCCCUUCUUCUCACCUCUAUUUCAUUAACUCUAUUGAACCAGAUUGUCUCAGGAAAAUCAUAGUAGGUCAACAAAAGUCAAAGGAUAUUAUGAACGAAGAGCUGAAGUUCAUGCAAAUAGACCAUGAUGGUGGCUUAACUGCAGUGUAGGAAAAGCUUCUGAUGUUUGUAGAAGAGAAACUUCGGAAGAAAAGCUUGACAACUCACAAUAAACUAGAACUCCCUGUCAUGGAAAGUAACAAGUAUCAAGCCUAUGCUAAAGAUUAUUCUAAUCAGGUCAGCUAAGCCUUCUGAUUAUAAGCCUAACACAGAUGGUUGCCUGGCCUUGUGGAGGAAAUGGAAAUCUGGCGAUCAAUAAUGUGAUGGAGCAAAUCAAGAAUAUAGUAGAAAAGAUUGAAGUCUUGAAAGAGGAAGGAGAAUUUUGUUUUCUGCAUUACUACAGAGAAAGCAAAUACUGUUGCAGAUGUCAUAGCUAAGUCUUCUGAUUAUAAGCCUAACACAGAUGGUUGCCUGGCCUUGGUGGAGGAAAUGGAAAUCUGGCGAUCAAUAAUGUGAUGGAGCAAAUCAAGAAUAUAGUAGAAAAGAUUGAAGUCUUGAAAGAGAAAGGAGAAUUUUGUUUUCUGCAUUACUACAGAGAAAGCAAAUACUGUUGCAGAUGCCAUGGCUAACUGGAGUCAAAAGCUACAAAAUAUCCACGUCUUCACAAAUGUUGUCGACCUAUCCUACCCAAGUAGGGUGAGAGCCUCUUUAAAGAUGGAUAGGGAACCAAAUUAUCAACUAUAGAGUCAGGACUAAAAAAAAUUCUUUGAUGUGUAGUUUACUUAUGUCUUUUGAAGUUUAUGUGGAUAGGUUUUAUCAUCCUUUGGUGGUUAAUAUUGGCUCAUUAGUUUAAUGAAUUAAAAUGGGCUCAUUAGU